UGGUGCAGUUGGUAGCACACCAGACUGUGGAGCUGGAAGCCACAUGCUCACCAGGGUUCGAGGCCCUG
rnacentral:tRNA from 1 species